UAAGCACACCAUUGCAUCAAGUUCUUAACAUCCAAUCCCCAGGUUGCUGCACAAAGCCAGAUCUACUAAGCAAAACAAGGAACCCUUACAAACAAAGCAUGACACCUUGCCAACCCUCAUGAACUCAUGUGCCCCUGAAUAAUGAUCUAGACCAUCUAUGAAUGGGCUGGUUCAUGGUUCAUCCUUUAAGCAAACUGUGAACUGCCGUUUCAGGCGCCCUUGGCCAGGUCUGCAGACAUGGAUUGCAGAAUCAAGUCACAAGUGCUCAGGCCUUAGUUUUAGGUGCAUGCUAAAACUGGCUACACCAUCCUCGCUUAACAGAAAUGAAUAAACUUUUAAAAACCAAUCUAUACAACUUAAGUGUGCAUCAUCUGUUUUCUGUGUUUAUUAUCAUUGUCGAGACAGAGAAGGGAAUCAGAAUUAUUAUGCUCCAGGCACCCAUGCAAGUUUAAGAAUGGCCCGUCCCUGAGGGCAGCGGUAUACAUUGCGACCUAACUUAAUUGCCAAAUCUACAAAUUGGCUGUUAAGAUUUAACACCUCAAAAAGAAAGUAGCAAGAAAUGAAAAAAUUGGAGCCUAAACAUAAAAACUGAAAGAAUUUCCCAGACCUAGCAUUUGUUUUCUAUUUAUUUAGAAUUUCUUUUUCUUUGAUAGCUCAUCCCACUUAACUGAACAGGCAAAAUACAGUAAAAGUAAAAGGCUAUUAACAGAUAAUUUUUCACCUAACCACCAUGUUCACUAACAAAUUUGAAGAGAACAAAAGAUGCAACCAGAAAUACCUUGAAGAUCUCGGAGACAAUCCAGCAUGAGAGUGUGGAGAAACAGAUCUACCAGGAGAUACAGAGAGAGAGCGAUGAGAAUAUUUAGCCCCUGGAGACUUGCUGCAAUAAAAGUCACUUCUGUUCAGUUAUCACUAGUCACAAUAACUGAAACCAACAGUCUAAUCUUUGCCAAUAAAAGAGACCUCCUGCUCCUCUCACUGCAGUUACGACUGCGACUACGGCUCCGACUUUGACUCCCGCUCCUGCUCCUGCUCCUGCUCUUGCUCCGGUCACGUGUGCCGUGACUAGGACUUUGGGAGUAGCUUCUUCUCGAAUCAUCCUUCCUCACCUAGAAAAGGCCAAUAGGUAAGUAACAAAAAACAUAUAUGUAACACAACAUAAAUGUUCUGAUACAUACCCGCACAUAAGACCGAGAAAAUGCAUUGCGAAACUCAGAGUCAUCAAGUUUCUUGAUCUGCAUAUAGGUCAAAAGAGAGCCACAAUUAAUCUGAACCCAAUGAUAUUACAUAAAGCCAUAAAAUUCCAGAAUAAUAAUCCAAAGUUAUAAUCAGCUUAAGAACUUACAGCAUGUUUCAUAUCAUCAUAGUUUUUAUAAUCUACAAUUCCUGUCUUACCUACAACAUGUUGAAAUAAGGAGAAUAAGAAGUUACUAAUACCCUCCUAGCCUCAAUAUGUUUUAUAACGUUACUGAUAAUAUUUCAAUAUAAACAUAUAGUUUGGUUGGAUCAGUCAUGCAUAAACUUAAUUAGUCUUAAUAGCAAACUAACUGAGGUGAGCUACUUAAAUGUAUAAUGCAGAACCUAACAAAAGAAUCAUAAGCUCAUUCGACUCACCACCACGACCAGGAAAGACUCGAGAAAAACAGACAUCCCCAGCUUGUCGCAUAUGAUCCUGAUCAUUGUAUAUGCAUGGUUAAUACCAGUUUAUUGAUAAUAGCCAACUCAUUUUAUGACUUGAAUUUGAAACUACUAAUUUACUAGAACUAAAAUCUAGUAGGCAAAUAAAGCAAACCUUGAGAUCUUGCCAUGAAGCAGAUGAAGGUAAUCCAGUGACCAGAACUGCAAGAAAGUGGGUUAUCAGAUGAACCUUUAAUAAAAUAUAAUCAUGGAUCAACGUUAGUGAUGCCAGAGUGAAACAUACCACGAUGAUCAGAGUGCUUGGAAGGACCAUGGUUUUCACUAAUACCACUGCAAGUAUUAUAAUGACGCCCUGGAAAUGAAUGUUUUCGACCACCAUGGCCUGGAGUUGAAUGUUUUCGACCACCAUAAGCAAGCUCUACCUAAUGAGGGGUUUGAUGUACAACGUUGCCAAGUAUCAUUGAGGUACAAAAUAGAAUGAAUCAAAGAACCGAUGACAAUAACCCAAAUAUAGAGAAAGCUAUAUGAACAGAAAAGUAGAUGAAGAUGAGCAACUACUAACUCGUAAACGACAUCCAUUAAAGUUAUACCCAUCACGACCACGGAUGGCCUCUUCAGCAUUACAAGCAUCUUCAAACUACAUUAUAAAAAAUUCAAAGAAUUGCAUCAGCGCCUUGUUUCUUUUAUAAAAUAAAACAAAGAAAAAGGUGUAUGAUGACCAGUUUAAGAAAUAAAUUAAUAAAGCCAAGCAAGCUUACCUGAACAAAAGCAUAACCUGGGGUUCUUGGUGGAUUCCUUAGAUCCACCCUAACAAUGAGUCCAUACUGCAAAUAUAUAAAAUAAGGCAUCAAUAUUUGAUUCAUAACUCAUAAGCUGCUUAAUAAAAAAUUAAUAGAAUGUCAUUCAUAAAAAAUAUAUCAGCCGAAACAAACUAAUAUAGCACAUCAUUUAAGCGUUUCUUUAUGUGUUUCUUUUAAGACCAUAUUGUUAUUUAGUUAAUUUCAGUUUGAUAAGGGUUUCAAACUAUACAUAGCUUCUUUUUUUUUUUUUUUUUCUUUUCUGAUCAUGGGAGAGGAAGUGGAGGAUCAAGUUUGAAAUUCCGCCCCACUAGGCCAAAGUACCAAGAAAGUAACAGCAUUAACAAUUCAAUUCAAUUCAGUUGAGUUACAAGUUCAAGAAACAGUUAAAAUAAUAUAAAGAAGGGAAAGAAAAACCUUGUAAAACAAAUCUUUUACUUCUCUCCAUCGAAUAUCUCCAGGAAGAUUCCCUACGUACAAAGUGCGGCUUGCACAACUGCUCAUUCUUUUCCCCGAUAACAAACACUUGUCAAUUAAAUCUGAAACCACGAGAAUUUGCAAUACAUAAGCAUAGAUAUAUCAAGAAAAGCUUUACUCGUUUAUUUUACCUGGAAAAGAAAAGAAAAGAAAAGAAAAUAGUGCAAGAAUAUGAAAGCUUGUACCUCUUUUCAGUAAAAUAUGGAGGAGAGGUGUUUUCUUGUUUUUGUUUUAGAAAUGUUUGGAUUCUUGUGGAAGUAUAAAGAGGAGAGCGUUUUAUAAGGAAGGAUUUUGUACAUUUCCCGUUACAACCCAUCCCUCACUGAUUAUCGUAAUUACAUUCUCGCACUAUGAUAAUGCUACGUGUCCUUUGCUAAUUGCUACUGGGCAUACAUUAACGCAUCUAUCUGCAAAGAAAUUUAAUUAUUUGGAUUAAUUACUAAUGCCUCCCUGAGGUUUUCAUACCAUGCAUUUCAGUUGCAUUUUCAUGAUUCUCACGUUUAUUUAAGAUAAUCAAAACUUACAAAUUGUGCAUUUUGCGUUAUGCCACUUCACUUCAUAUUCAUGUGGUUUUAAAUGGUUUUUGCAGUCCUUUGGAGUUCAUUCUGAAUCUGUUCAUUCAGUCGCUUGAGGAAGAUUGCCUUGGAUUGACUCUCGGUCAUGUAAGGUUUCCUCCUUCUUACGCAUUCGUAUAUUAUAGAAUAAGCUCAGAGAGUGGAAUUCCUCCUCUUUAAAUAUUUGAAUUUUCUACGGGAAGUCGAAUGCUCUUUUAGAAAGAGAAGUCAAGGAAGAAGGAUUUGUCCACUAGGAAACAAGAAGUGCGCAUACUGUUCGUCUCCUUUUCCAAGCACUGCUCUUCGUUUUCAACAGUUACAUUUGCAUGUAAGAGAGUCCUCUAUUUUUCUCUUUCCAGUUCUGUUGCUGAAAGAAUUGUAGCUAACGAUGUUUAUAGUACUGAUAUUGUAAUGCAGAUCAUGAUCUUCUGGGACAUCAUGCUCUCUUUGCAGAACAUACAGCAGCAGUAUCAUCAGUACACGAUUCGAAUUUUGAUAAUCAUUCAGGGGUUUUUCUCUAGUUAGGAUUUUGAAAAAGAAUAUUAAUUAUUUUAGAAUGAAAUUUUAUAAAAUUUCUUUUUCAGGGUAGUGUGAAAAGGAAUUUCCCAUUUAAGGUGAUUUUGGAUGAUUUUUGCUGAGACGGAGAGAGUGAGCUCUGUUGACUAGCAAACAGAAGCUGUCUUCCCGUUGGACCGACCGGCGGACAGCUUCUGUCCACUGGAUAAAGGUUAUAUUUUUUUAAAAAAAAUUAUACACAAAAUUUACAAGUUUUUUGGAAUAAGUUUUUCAGGAUUAAAUAUUAAAUGUUUUACAAGUUUAUUGUUCAAAUUUUUUUUCUUUAUAUAAUUAAUAAUUUUAAUUAUUAUAAAUUUAUAAGUGAUAUGUUUCAUUGAAAAAUUAUAUUUUUCUACUAAAGUAUUUUUUAAAAUUUAAAUAUAUUUUAAUUGUAAUUGAUUUUAUUAAUUUCUUUUAAUUCUAAUAUCUUAUUUAUCUCUAAUUUCUUUCUCUCUUUUUAAUAUCUCUGAGUAUCUUAAAAUCACACUAAAACCGGAAAAUUUACCCUAAAAUAAGACUUAUUUAUUUUGAAAACCUUAAAUUAAGAAAAAGCCCGGCCCUUCAGUACCUGGUGAGCUUCCUGGUUCCUAUGCUUUUCCUGCUAUAGAUCUUCAUUACCAUGGUUGGGAGCACCAUUCUCCUCCCUUCUCCAGGAGCAGCAGUCGAAUCGGCAGUGCUGAUCAGCCUUCAAUUCCGCCUGUUUCUCAAAGGCCGGAUAGAAGUAGUUCUGAUCUUCCAAGAUUGGGUUCUUUCAUGCAUCCAUUCCUUGUCGGCCACAGGUAUCCCUAGCACUCCCCUAUCCUCUCUCUGAGGAGUUCUAAUUAGUAGAAGGAUAUGUCCCACUUUGGUUCAGUAGGACUCAGCAAUGAUCAUUUGGGUGAUUACUUAAUAGACGUUUGAUUUUGCUGGAGUUGUAAUAAUGACUUCGUAUGCAUGUAAUUUCCACAGCUCUAGUGCUAGAGCUGGGAGCUCAAUUAGUUCCACAGUGAUUCCACCUUACCAAGGAAGUAAUGCUCGAGUUCAAGCUCUUCAAGCAUACUAUCAACAGCAACCUGGCAAUUCUCCAGCAAUUUGCACCCCCAUUAUUUCUGGGACCCGAAGGUCUAGCAAUUGCGGAGCCUUGUCCCAAGUAGGGCCAGUCGCUUCAUCUUCCGAUCAGACUGGGUUCUAUUUUGUCCCACCAGGUACAUCAGGUCGGAACAUCCAAGAAGCAGACAAUCCUCCACCAAUCCGAUUUCGUGCAUGGGAAAGACAUCACUUGCAGUCAUUUUCUAGUCAAGUCAAGUUGACAGAGAAUCAAGUUGGCUAUUUCAUCAGACUGCUAGUGCGUCAGAUCCUGACCUUAGAUCCAGCAGCUUCCGGCAAAGGCAUGGAACUGAGAGAAUGUCAUCUCAGAAUCGGUCUUAACUUUCUUGAUUAUCCUUUCGGGUGAAGCAAAAUACCACUAGCGAAAACAAAGUUAUAUAUGCUUGAAAAACGAUACAUGAUGCUUGGAGUCUGUCAAUCACGAGAGUCUCAAAAUACUGUGGAGUGACCCUGAAAACGAUCUAUUUGGCAGCCACCUGGCUGUGUGAUAUGAACAUUGGCAUUCUCUCUAGUUUCUUUGCCUUUUGAGGAUAUUAAAAUAAGAUUACAUGUUGGAUAGAAAUAGAUUUUGCAGAGAAAUUUUGUCAUAUGCUUAAUAGUAAUCUAGCAGGCGGUAACAGACCAAAUGGCGGUGCAAUCAUCUUAGUAUCUGAGAGCAUGUACAAUCGAGAGUGGCUUUCACGUCCAUAGGCCCUUCACCUUAAGCAGGUAUUGCUUGAUGUGCAUUCGCAUCGCGUCUAAAGAAAUUUCUCUAGGAUGGCAUUCCAAAAGAAAAGGGGAAAGGGAAUUCUACCCCAAACCUUAAUAUUCAUAUUUGGAUAGUCGCAAGAGUAGGAAAGGUAAGUUCUAUUUCCUCAUCCAACACCACGUUUGUAACCAUUAACGGCAACGUUUUCUGGACUGCAAACAGAGUUGAGAGGGAGAAUUCUUAUAUUAACCGAAUUGUUAAAAGCACUCGGAAAAUUUGACAUGAAACAAAAGCUUUUACACAUGUAGGUACAGCAAACACAUACAGUGAAAAGGACUUAUUGAAAGAAAUGUGUGAAACCAUGAAUAGCCUCUCCAGCAUAAGCUCAAAUACAUAAAACGAUCAAACAAUUGUCCAGAGUGCAAUGUAUAUUUAAGCUAUUUCUAGCACAUUAAAGGUUUCUGGCUGUUGACUAACAUCGAUUUACAGCUAGGGCAAGGAAAAUCUUCAAUAACGAUCUCUAGAAUCCACAGAGUCCAUCGAUCGGCUUCGAUCAGAUCUAACCUGCCAAUUGCAGCCAUGAUCAGAGCCAAUCUACAUCCUAAGAAGAUAACAUAUAGUAUCAAAUAAUCAAGAACAAUCAUCUUUUGAUGCUGAGGGAAACCAUACAGCAGGCGAUUGGGAUUGAGAUCCACUGCUUCUGCUUUUGCUUCUGUCUCGUUUGGUUGCUCUUCUACCUGCUUGUUUGCUAGAAGGCUGCACAGUCCAUCAAGAAUAGCAAAUAUAAUAAUUAAAUAAUGCAAGGGUACACAAUUCACAUGAGAUUGGCUAUGGGAAUUUAGAUUAUACUUCACUUACAGAUGCUAGUGGGGAUCUUGAUCUUGAUCGGGAUCUGCAAAAAUUUCCAGAAACAACUCAAUUAUCCAUAAGAAUCCAUUAUAAUCCUUGAUCCAAAAGCUUCAAUGCCACUUCCACCUCAUAGUGACAAGCAAUGAAAAGAAUCAAGAAAUAACACCAGUCUUUAGAAGAAAAUUGUAAAAAUAGAAUAAAAAAUCCACUGCAAGAUAAUAAACAACCUCACACUUUGGUGAUGGGCUUUUCCCAGAAGUUCACCAGAAUAUAUCAACAUGAGGAAAGAAAAAUCACUAUAGCACCAUGAACUGAGUUGCCAAAGUUUGGGAUAUCCUGCCCAUCCAUACCAGAUAAGAGGAGAACUACACUUUCCCUAUCAGUUUCGCCAAGUUCAGGAAGGGAUAGAUGCUGAAGUAGUUUCAAUUUUCAUAACUAUAGCUGAUCUGUGGGAUGGUACCAAUAGCACUUAGUUCAGAGUAAUCCAGCUUUCAUAUUGUGACACAUCCACACUGGAUCAAGUCUAGCACUAAACGACACACCAGGACACCAGCAUUAUAAGAUUAUUAGGAUGAUCUGGAGGUGCUCAGCUGCUCAUCAAUAAAGAUGCAUUACCUCAAACCACCAAAGAGAUGCAGGUAUAUGAGCACAUCACCACAUCAAGUUCUUAACAUCCAAUCCCCAGGUUGCUGCACAAAGCCAGAUCUAGUAAGCAAAACAAGCAACCCUCACAAACAAAGCAUGGCACCUUACCAACCUGGUAUACUAAGUGGUAACCCUUAGGAACUAAGAAACGUGCCACAAUUUACAAUAAGGUUUAAAAUUUUUUAAACAGAUUGUGUUCAUUUCUUUAACAUAUGGAAGCUGAAGAGCUGUACUUUUGGGACCCAAAAAAAAAAAAGAACCAACAAUGAAUUCAACGACCAAUAAUUACUGGCCAAGUAAGG
rnacentral:lncRNA from 1 species